CCAUACCUUUUAAUCCGGGUAUUUGCCACCGGAGCCCUCAAAGCUGCGAUGUAAUUAACACUAAGUAAUGCAGCCCAAGCAAGAGAGUUUGCAGGUGUGGAAAGGAGGAGGGGGUGGUGCUGCUCUGUGACUGUCACUAGGUUGAAAACCUCCUGCUUCUACUCCAUAGCACAGUUAAACACUAAGGUUUCACUGAGUGAGCACAUCCAGCUGACACCCACAUUAGAUCAUAUGGUAAUGAUACGUCUCUUGUACUGUAGCCAGAAACUUUAUCGGCCCCGUUCUUUCUCCCCCUCCACGUUUGCUUUAUUCCUUUCGCAUCCGCCCAGCAUUCCAAACUGCUUUUGUAGUCCAGUGGAGCAACUUGAUUUGAAAUUUGUCUUUUCUUUUUUUAAAGAUUAGAACUGAAGAGUUUGUCUCCCCACCCCACCCCCAACCCCAUUCCAGUCUCCACCUUUUCCCGCCUUGUUUGGGAUUUCAAAGGAUAUUCCUGAAGUCAGCCAGCAAAACCCAAAGGACCUGAAGACCUCGGAGCUUGCUGUCCUCACACCAAAGGUGGAAUUGGAAGGGAAAAAAGAAUGAUACAAUCCAGCUCGGUGGAAAUCCACUGAUGCUUGUUGUUCAAGAUUGCAAAUGGUUCAGUAAGAAGCAGCUGUGUCCAGGGCUCAGCAGAGUUUCCAGUCACGAUAUCGUUUGCCCAACUUAUUUUCCCAGUUGAGAUUUCUCAAGAGAUGUCUCAUGUCCAAAUGCAAGAUCCAUCAAGUUCAAAGUUUUUCAUGGACACUAGAAUUUUUUUAAUGGAAAGGAUUUACAUAAGCAAGACAUCCCUUACAUAGAAAUGCAGGGACAAAGUGUGGAGCAGAGACUGAAGGAAAGACCAUCCAGAGACUGCCCCACCUGGGGAUCCAUCCCAUCUGUAGACACCACACCCAGACACUACUGCUGAAGUCAAGGAGCGCUUGCUGACAGGAGCCUGGUAUAGCUGUCCUCUGAAAGGCUCUGCCAGAGCCUGACCAAUACAGAUGCGGAUGCUCACAACCAACCAUUGGACUGAGAUCUGGGACCCCAAAGGAGAUGUUAGGGCAAAGACUGACGGAGCUGAAGGGGUUUGCAGACCCAUAGGAAGAACAACAAUAUCAACCAACCAGAGCCUCCAGAACUCCUAGGGACUAAACCACUACCAAGAAGUACAUAUGGGGGACUCAUGGCUCCAGCUGGAUAUGUAGCAGAGGAUGGCCUUAUCGGGCAUCAUUAGGAGGGCAGGCCGUUGGUCCUUUGGAGGCUCAAUGAACCAGCCUAGGGGAAUGCUAGGGUUCUGAGGCAGGAGUGGGUGAGUGGGUGGGUAGUGGAGCAACCUAAUAGAGGCAUGGGGAUAGGGAGGGAGUAGUGGGUUUGUGGAGGGGGAACUUGGCAAGGGGAUAACAGUUGAAAUGUCAAUAAAUGAAAUAACCAAGAAAAAAGAAAGAAGAAAUCAGCUGUGUUUGGAUUGCAUUGCUUCAAAAAAAUGGUCCCAAAAUAAAUGUGUAUAGGUUUGAA